AAAGUGUUUAGUGGCAUGGGAUGGGGUCGCGUCUAUCAGCUUGUAGGCGGGGUAAUGGCCCACCUAGGCUUCGACGGGUAGCCGGCCUGAGAGGGCGGACGGCCACAUUGGGACUGAGAUACGGCCCAGACUCCUACGGGAGGCAGCAGUGGGGAAUAUUGCGCAAUGGGGGAAACCCUGACGCAGCGACGCCGCGUGCGGGAUGAAGGCCUUCGGGUUGUAAACCGCUUUUGAUUGGGAGGCAAGCCUUUUGGGUGAGUGUACCUUUCGAAUAAGCGCCGGCUAACUACGUGCCAGCAGCCGCGGUAAAU
rnacentral:rRNA from 1 species